rfam:Schistosoma rodhaini strain Burundi genome assembly, scaffold: SROB_scaffold0005618
AUCCAGCGGAGGAGUCCCAAAUAGAACGAAACGCGCAUCCUGGAU